UAAAAAUGUAACAAGGUUUCCCUGGUAGGUGAACCUGCGGAAGGAUCAUUA
rnacentral:rRNA from 1 species